AUUGAACGCUGGCGGCAGGCCUAACACAUGCAAGUCGAGCGGAUGAAGGGAGCUUGCUCCUGGAUUUAGCGGCGGACGGGUGAGUAAUUCCUAGGAAUCUGCCUGGUAGUGGGGGAUAACGUCCGGAAACGGGCGCUAAUACCGCAUACGUCCUGAGGGAGAAAGUGGGGGAUCUUCGGACCUCACGCUAUCAGAUGAGCCUAGGUCGGAUUAGCUAGUUGGUGAGGUAAAGGCCUACCAAGGCGACGAUCCGUAACUGGUCUGAGAGGAUGAUCAGUCACACUAGAACUGAGACGCGGUCCAGACCACUACGGGAGGCAACGGUGGGGAAUAUUGGACAAUGGGCGAAAGCCUGAUCCAACCAAGCCGCGUAUGUGGAAAAGGUCUUCGGAUUGUAAAGCACUUUAAGUUGGGAAGAAGGGCAGUAAGUUAAUACCUUGCUGUUUUGACGUUACCAAAAGAAUAAGCACCGGCUAACUUCGUG
rnacentral:rRNA from 1 species